GUUUAGCCUUAAAAUUAUUUUUACUGAGCAUCGUAAUAUCUUAAGGUAUUAUUUUGUAUUUCAUGUAUACUUUUUAAUGUAUACUUUAAGGUGUUUAUAAUAUACCAUAAAAAUUUCUAUAAACUGUAUUUUAACAUUAGACUUAUGUGUUUAGAGUACAAAUGUAAUCUAAUGAAAAAAAUGAUAGUGACUCACAAGAUUUUAAAGAACAUCAAGAAUUAAAAAAGUCUUGUCUGCAGAUACGUGUCUCUGUAUUAAACAAAAGUAAAACAAGAUUGAAAAAAGUGAUCAUAAUUACCUCUGUGAUUAAGUGGUAGCAAUUUUUUUCAAGAUGAAGAGAGAAGCAACAAAAAAGAAAGUAGCAAAGAAAGUCUUGUCUACAGACACCUGUUUCUGUAUUUAAUAAAAGUAGAAUAAGAUUGGAAAAAGUGAUCAUAAUUACCUCUGUGAUUAAGGUGAAGGGAGUAGCAGCAAAAAAGGAAGUAGCAAAAAAAUUGAAUUGGACAGGGCAAGGUGAUCUUCAAAAAACGCCUUUCCGAAUUCUUAAAUUUCGUCAAGUUAAUGAAACAUGUUAAAGAAUAUUUCUGCAUGGUGCACUCUGACUGUUGACAAUGUUUGCAUAUUGAUAUGAG